GACGAACGCUGGCGGCGCGCCUAACACAUGCAAGUCGAGCGAGAACCAGGGCUUCGGCCCUGGGGACAGCGGCGAACGGGUGAGUAACACGUGGAUAACCUGCCCUCGGCACCGGAAUAGCCCGGGGAAACUCGGAUUAAUGCCGGAUAGCCCCUCAGCCCCUCGGGGCAGUGGGAAAGGGUAGCUUCGGCCUCUGGCCGAGGAUGGGUCCGCGGCGGAUUAGCUAGUUGGCGGGGUAAUGGCCCACCAAGGCGACGAUCCGUAGCUGGUCUGAGAGGACGAUCAGCCACACUGGGACUGAGACACGGCCCAGACUCCUACGGGAGGCAGCAGUGGGGAAUCUUGCGCAAUGGGCGAAAGCCUGACGAAGCGACGCCGCGUGCGGGAAGAAGGCCUUAGGGUUGUAAACCGCUUUCAGGAGGGACGAAGCCACUCGGGUGAAUAGCCCAGAGGGUGACGGUACCUCCAGAAGAAGCCCCGGCUAACUACGUGCCAGCAGCCGCAGUAACAC
rnacentral:rRNA from 1 species